AGUAUUCCCUGUGUAAGUGUGUAUACAGAGGUAGCUGUCAGUCACUGAUAGAUGUACACGGGGAGGUGUUAUCAGUGAUUGAUAGCAUUCUCUGUGUAAGUGUGUAUACAGACAUAGCUAUAGCUGUCAGUCACUGAUAGCUGUACACAGGGGAGG